GACGAACGCUGGCGGCGUGCUUAACACAUGCAAGUCGUACGGUAAGGCCCUUUCGGGGGUCCACGAGUGGCGAACGGGUGCGUAACACGUGAGUAACCUACCCACAACUUUGGGAUAACGCUAGGAAACUGGUGCUAAUACUGGUUAUGUUCUCCUGCUGCAUGGUGGGGGUUGGAAAGCUCCGGCGGUUGUGGAUGGACUCGCGGCCUAUCAGCUUGUUGGUGGGGUAGUGGCCUACCAAGGCGGCGACGGGUAGCCGGCCUGAGAGGGUGACCGGCCACAUUGGGACUGAGAUACGGCCCAGACUCCUACGGGAGGCAGCAGUGGGGAAUAUUGCACAAUGGGCGCAAGCCUGAUGCAGCAACGCCGCGGGCGGGAUGACGGUCUUCGGGUUGUAAACCGAUUUCAGCAGGGACGAAGCUUUUUGUGACGGUACCUGCAGAAGAAGCACCGGCUAACUACGUG
rnacentral:rRNA from 1 species